rnacentral:rRNA from 1 species
GACGAACGCUGGCGGCGUGCUUAACACAUGCAAGUCGAGCGGUAAGGCCCUUUCGGGGGUACACGAGCGGCGAACGGGUGAGUAACACGUGGGUGACCUGCCCUUAGCUCUGGGAUAAGCCUGGGAAACUGGGUCUAAUACCGGAUAUGACUCCAUGACGCAUGUUGUGGGGUGGAAAAGCCUUGUGCGGCUAGGGAUGGGCCCGCGGCCUAUCAGCUUGUUGGUGGGGUGAUGGCCUACCAAGGCGACGACGGUAGCCGGCCUGAGAGGGCGACCGGCCACACUGGGACUGAGACACGGCCCAGACUCCUACGGGAGGCAGCGAGUGGGGAAUCUUGCGCAAUGGCGAAAGCCUGACGCAGCGACGCCGCGUGAGGGAUGACGGCCU